GACGAACGCUGGCGGCGUGCCUAAUACAUGCAAGUAGAACGCUGAAGAGAGGAGCUUGCUCUUCUUGGAUGAGUUGCGAACGGGUGAGUAACGCGUAGGUAACCUGCCUGGUAGCGGGGGAUAACUAUUGGAAACGAUAGCUAAUACCGCAUAAAAUUGAUUAUUGCAUGAUAAUUAAUUGAAAGAUGCAACUGCAUCACUACCAGAUGGACCUGCGUUGUAUUAGCUAGUUGGUGAGGUAACGGCUCACCAAGGCGACGAUACAUAGCCGACCUGAGAGGGUGAUCGGCCACACUGGGACUGGGACACGGCCCAGACUCCUACGGGAGGCAGCAGUAGGGAAUCUUCGGCAAUGGGGGGAACCCUGACCGAGCAACGCCGCGUGAGUGAAGAAGGUUUUCGAAUCGUAAAGCUCUGUUGUAAGAGAAGAACGGGUGUGAGAGUGGAAAGUUCACACUGUGACGGUAUCUUACCAGAAAGGGACGGCUAACUACGUG
rnacentral:rRNA from 1 species